GGGUGCAAUCAUACCAGCACUAAUGCACCGGAUCCCAUCAGAACUCCGCAGUUAAGUGUACUUGGGCGAGAUUAGUACUAGUUUGGGUGACCUCCAGGGAAGUCCUCAUGUUGCACCCC
rfam:Gossypium hirsutum cultivar TM-1 chromosome 14, whole genome shotgun sequence